rnacentral:rRNA from 1 species
AAGCGUGCGCAGGCGGUUAUGUAAGACAGAUGUGAAAUCCCCGGGCCUCAACCUGGGAACUGCAUUAGUGACUGCAUAGCUGGAGUACGGCAGAGGGGGAUGGAAUUCCGCGUGUAGCAGUGAAAUGCGUAGAUAUGCGGAGGAACACCGAUGGCGAAGGCAAUCCCCUGGGCCUGUACUGACGCUCAUGCACGAAAGCGUGGGGAGCAAACAGGAUUAGAUACCCGAGU